ACAGGAUUAGAUACCCUGGUAGUCCACGCCCUAAACGAUGAUUACUAGAUGUUGGUGGUAUCGACUCCAUCAGUAUCGAAGCAAACGCGAUAAGUAAUCCGCCUGAGUAGUACGGCCGCAAGGUUGAAACUCAAAGAAAUUGACGGGGACCCGCACAAGCAGAGGAGCAUGCUGUUUAAUUCGAAGCAACGCGAAGAACCUUACCAAGACUUGACAUCCAAUGAAUGCCAUAGAAAUAUGUCAGUUUAGCAAUAAACAUUGAGACAGGUGGUGCAUGGUUGUCGUCAGCUCGUGUCGUGAGAUGUUCGGUUAAGUCCGGUAACGAGCGCAACCCUUAUUACUAGUUGCCAAUAUUAAGUUAGGAACUCUAGUGAGACUGCCGUGGGUAACACGGAGGAAGGUGGGGAUGACGUCAAAUCAUCAUGCCCCUUACGUCUUGGGCUACAGGCGUGCUACAAUGGCCACUACAAAGAGACGCAAGACCGCAAGGUGGAGCAAAUCUCAAAAAAGUGGUCUCAGUUCGGAUUGUGGGCUGCAACCCGCCCACAUGAAGCCGGAUUUGCUAGUAAUCCCGAAUCAGAAUGUCGGGGUGAAUUCGUUCCCGGGUCUUGUACACACCGCCCGUCACGCCAUGGGAGUCGGGAGCACUCGAAACCGGUGUCCUAACCAGCAAUGGAGGGAGCCGUCUAAGGUGAGACUGAUGACUGGGGUGAAGUCGUAACAAGGUAGCCGUACGAGAACGUGCGGCUG
rnacentral:rRNA from 1 species